UUGAACUGGAAAAGCUUCUCUAGUCAAAACUAUUUUGAUCCAAAUGGACUAUUCAUGUCAGUUCUUUGGUCGUGGCCCCUUCUUGUCAUUGCUAUGAUAAUUCUGAUCAACACACUUUUCUCCUUGUGUUACUUGAUUGUUAGGUGGAAAAGAGCUGAACAAAGACAUCGUGUAAGGAUUGCUUAUAGUAAGGAGGAAUAGUUGUUCAUACUAUCUUUUUUUGUCUUUCGGAUAAACUCUAAGAAAUU